GGACACGAGGGUGAUUUGCUGCAAUAUCUGUUGUAUCACUAGUUACCAGGCCUGAUUGGGUGAAUACAGUUGAAUGUGAGAGUAUCCCCUUCCUCCCUUACUAUUCCAUGUGCAUCCCUCCUGAUGCUGCAUGCUUGUGGAAGAGGAUGACCAUAUCAGAUAGAAAGGCUGUACCAUGCUUUGGUCAAGGGUAUAUAAUACCUAAAUCCUGUUUUCUUUUUUCUUCUCAUUUUUCCUUAGGAGACCUCUGAAAAGAUCAAGCAAAUGACUACCAAAGAAAUGUGAGAGGUACACACCAGAAGACAAAGUGUGUUACCUG
rnacentral:snRNA from 1 species